CGACUGCUAAUACCGCAUAAGCCCACGGGUCGGCAUCGACCAGAGGGAAAAGGAGCAAUCCGCUUUGAGAUGGCCUCGCGUCCGAUUAGCUAGUUGGUGAGGUAACGGCCCACCAAGGCAACGAUCGGUAGCCGGAUUGAGAGGUUGAACGGCCACAUUGGGACUGAGACACGGCCCAGACUCCUACGGGAGGCAGCAGUGGGGAAUAUUGCACAAUGGGGGAAACCCUGAUGCAGCGACGCCGCGUGGAGGAAGAAGGUCUUCGGAUUGUAAACUCCUGUUGUUGAGGAAGAUAAUGACGGUACUCAACAAGGAAGUGACGGCUAACUACGUGCCAGCAGCCGCGGUAAAACGUAGGUCACAAGCGUUGUCCGGAAUUACUGGGUGUAAAGGGAGCGCAGGCGGGAAGACAAGUUGGAAGUGAAAUCUAUGGGCUCAACCCAUAAACUGCUUUCAAAACUGUUUUUCUUGAGUAGUGCAGAGGUAGGCGGAAUUCCCGGUGUAGCGGUGGAAUGCGUAGAUAUCGGGAGGAACACCAGUGGCGAAGGCGGCCUACUGGGCACCAACUGACGCUGAGGCUCGAAAGUGUGGGUAGCAAACAGGAUUAGAUACCCCGGUAGUCCACACCGUAAACGAUGAUUACUAGGUGUUGGAGGAUUGACCCCUUCAGUGCCGCAG
rnacentral:rRNA from 1 species